UGGGAGGUCACGGGAUACGGCCUCGUUUCGGCGGGGUCCUCGUGGCCGCCAGUGAAAUACCACUACUCUCAUCGUUUCUUUACUUACUCGGUGGAGCGGGAAGCGGACCAAUGAGUUGUCCACGCUUCUAGCGCCAAGCGAUGGGCCCCCGGUCUCCCUUCGGGGUUGUGCCGGUCGGGCCUGCGCGACCUGUUCCGAGGACAGUGUCAGGCGGGGAGUUUGACUGGGGCGGUACAUCUGUCAAACGGUAACGCAGGUGUCCUAAGGCGAGCUCAGCGAGGACAGAAACCUCGCGUAGAGCAAAAGGGCAAAUGCUUGCUUGAUCUUGAAUUUCAGUACGAUUCGAGACCGCGAAAGCGGGGCCCCUCGAUCCUUUUGGCUUUAAGAGUUUUAAGCAAGAGGUGUCAGAAAAGUUACCACAGGGAUAACUGGGCUUGUGGCA
rnacentral:rRNA from 1 species